UCAUUCUACCCUAAGAUUUCAGAUUUUAAAUUUUGAAAUCUGCCGCUCCAAAUAGGAUUUUGGUACGUUGAGGGUUUUCUUUUUGACAUUGCAGAGUUUUCUUUCCCAUCAUCGUAUUGGCUAUUCCAGUUCAAUAUCAUAUUAUUCCCAAUAAACAAUCAAAUUUUCAAAAUUCAAAUUGAGAAUUGGGAAUCCUGCUCCCAAAUUUGCUUCAUCUCCAUCUUGAUCGUUUUGAGAAACUAGGGAUUCCAUUCACUGAUUAUGUGCUGGGUGAAUUGGCAUUCCGUUAUGGGAUCUUUUUGCAUGUAGACCUUUGUCUUUGUGGUUUUGUGCUGCCUUUUGCAUGUAAACUCGGGUACCAUGUUCCACCAUUUGAUUUUUCUGUCCAAGGAGUGACCUCUAUAUCGGCAGAUGUGCAUAAGUAUCGGUUGGCGCCCAAAGGGACACGUAUAGUUUUAUAUAGAAACCAUAAUAUUCAGAAGAUUGACCAAGAACUGAAAAGGGAGAGGAGAAAGCAGUCUAAUUGAGAAUUUGCCAGAAGUUCGAGAUUAAGGAAAUAGCAUGGGAAUAGAUGGUUGGCUGCCAGAAUGUUAAUUCAUAGUAGAACCAGUCCAAGUUGAAUCCAUCAAGUCGCCUCCUAAAAUACCAAUUGAGUCCAUCAAGUAUCCAAUAUCCAACAGAUGGCUUACCGGGUAUCAUUCACUUUACCGGGAUCAUGGAGAUGGAUUUAGUUUUGAUUUGCCUAAAUGCUUCUAAUAUAUCCAUCUCUAAAAUAUGUUCAAGUCGAUAACGAAAACAAAACAAAAACAUAAGAUUCAAGGGUAAAUAAAUGAAAUGCUAAACAAAAACAAAAGAUUGAAGGGUAAAUAAACGAACUUUUGAAGAUUUGGAAACUGUUUGUAUCCUGAAGAAC